rnacentral:lncRNA from 1 species
AGGGUAUGCACCUUGAGAUGCGUAGCUUGUCUUGAUUAUCCAAGUGGGCCCAAUUGUUGGACGAGGUCAUAGAGAGGUCAUAGCCGGCAAGCUGACCCACUAGCUGGACCCAGGGCAAUCAGAACCUCCUCACCCUUCUCCUGUCCUUGGGUUGUACGUGUGGCCCACCAUUCCCACACUAGGAGCUGUUUCAAGAACAUAGCCUUGAGAGAGUAAGAUGUUGGGACCAUCUGGACUGAAUGCAUGACUGACCCCGUUAAGGCCUCUAUAAAACUUAAGAUCCUGGGGGGUAAGGGCAGAGAUCUACUCAUCUUGCAGCCACCCAAGACAAACUUCGUUUGUAAGUUCCCUGGUUUAUUAAAACUGCCACCUCCCAAUCUGGAUCCGCCUCUCCCCUUGGUUUCUCCUGGUCCUCCAUGUUAGGGGGCCAGCUAGUUUCAGAUUUCACCCAGAAAGCUCCGGAGUUUUCGAACCAACGCCAAUCUAAUCAUAGGGGUUCUUAAAAGUGGAGAACAUUUUCCAGCUACAGUCAAUCAGAGAUUCAACAAGAGAAGGACCUAACCCACUGUUGCUGGCUUUGAAGAUGGAGGAAGGAGACCAUAAACCAAAGAAUGUGAAUGUCUCAAGAAGCUGCUUCUGGAGGAAACAGAUUCUCCGCCAGAGCCUCCAGAAGGAUCACAGCUCUGCAGACGCCUUGAUUUUGCCCAGUGAGACCCAUGCUGGACUUCCAACCUGCAGAACUCAAAGUCUACAUUCCUAUCUUGGAGAAUUUCAAAACAAGAGAUACACUCUGUACAUACCUGAAGGGAAAUCGCAAGCAAUCAUAAGUAAAAGAGCAACAAAACCCCAGCAACACGAAAGAAAUGUUACUCAACUCUUUCAGAAGGGCGACGUCUCGUAGAAGAAGAUAAGAAACAACCUUACAGUGGGAGAAUCUUCCAGAUUUUCCUCCAGAAGCUCUUUGUUGGCGUGAGCACACACGUGUCUUGGAGGAAUGAGAUUCACCACCUCGGGAGUUCAUUCUGUAGAUCUGGCAUCAAGAAAAUGAAUUUCGUUCCUAGUUGAGAACGUCUAAAUAAUCUUACUAAGCUUGUGUUUGUCUUCAGAUCAGAAUCCAUGGUUUUUCACUAUGUCUUUUGCUUUCCAAUACUUUCGCAUUUAUGGUUUCUUUAAUCAUUUAUUUAUUUAGCAUCUAGUAGAUAACAGACAUAUUACACGCAUUAUCUGUAAAAAUUCAUAAUUGUGCUGCAUUUUACAUUUAAGAACACUGAAACUCAGAGAACAUACAUAGAAUACACAGCUAGUAAUAUAAAAACAAGGCUUUGAACUCACACUUACUUCGUUCCACAGAGUGUCGUUUUUCUCAACCUUACUACUUUGCCUUUCAUUUUAUUAUUAUCUUAAACACUCUAAAUUUGGUAUGGAGAAGGGGACUGGAUUUAGGGGUAGGUGCUUACAGGGGACUUUACCCUCAUCAGUAAUAAUUAAGAUUAUAAAAGACAUACAUUCAUGCAUUAUUGUGUAUAAAAAAUAAAAUACGUACUUUGUAAUGCAGUUGGACUUCGCGUUUAUGAAAAGUUUCUGUUUGUAACAGCUGAGUUAGAAAAAAUAUUUCACCAUAAAACUCUGGAAGUAGAAUUAAGAAUGUUGUGGUAAAUCAUGGGCUAGUUUAGCUAUAAUUAUCUGUUCGAUUGUGGCAAAGCUGAGGUCUGGCUUUAGUUUUUUUAAGUAGAGAUUCUGCCUUAAAAGGGAAUUUUAAGAAGAGUAUGUUUUUUCUUCAGUUGAGAAAUAGAUGCAACUAAUAAGCAGCCUUUUUUCCCUAGGAAAGAUAUAACUUGAGACCUAAAUCUUCGAUUGGGAUUUUCUUCUGUGAUCAUAACCCAAGACAUACUUAACCCAAGCAUUCCACAUAUUUCUCUACUCAGAAGUUUCUCUCCCUCACAUGUAAUUCCCUGAAUAUUAUUUCCCUCACAUGUAAUUCCCUGAAUAUUGGGCCAAUCUAGGCCAACAAACUGUGUAUGUGUGUUCUUUUUUUUUCAUAAGAGACUUUUGGUCUUAUUCACUGUUAUGUCAUCAAAUUACACUUAGUCACAAGAUUUUCCAGGCAAGAAACAUUACACUAAGGUACCUACUAAAAUCUGAUUAACAAUGAACACUUGAUUAAAGUUGAAAUUAUUUGCAGCAUUCUUUGGAAUCACUGGUAGCCCCUAACAAUACCCAGCCUCUCAUUAUCAAGGAUAUUCAAUAGCAAUAUAUGCCUAGAAAAGAUUUGUAAUAUACAUUUUUGGAGGCAGAAAGUAUGGAUAAAAGCAUAUGCCCAUCACAUUGACAACUAAGUUUGUAUCAGACCCUUCUGGGAAAAUUAUGAGUGCAUCAGAACAUGACAUCCUUUCAGGACAAAGAAAAUUAUCAGAUAUGGUAGAUUUCAACAUGGGAGAUCAGUAAGUAAUAGACAAAGUAGACACAUUAACCAGGAGAGGGGCAUAUUAUAGACUCUUGUUCUCCUUAUAAGCUUCUUCUACUGAUCAUUAACACUCAAGGAACACAUGUCCACAAUCA